GGUAUAGCUCAGUGGUAGAGCACUUGCCUCCCAUGUGUGAGGCCCUGGAUUUGAUCCCCAGAACCA
rnacentral:tRNA from 1 species